GGAGAGUGAGAGAGAGAGUGAGAGGGAGCAUGGCGGCAGAUGGGGAGUGCUGGAGACUGAAAAUGCUGUUGCAAAUAGGCUUUCUGGGUCGGUGUGGGGAGCAGAGAGCGCGCACUGCUGAGAGGAGAAUCGUGACAGUCUGUUCUGGGGGAACAUCCAGCGUCUGUCAGCAUCGCUGACUUAUCUGUGUGAAUGAAAAUGUGAACAAACAGUGAAAUAAAGCGAUGCAGAUGCACAUGUCUGUCUCUGUGUUUAUGUAAUACAAGCACAUCACAUCUCAUCUCCCCUCUGCUCAAUGUUUUGGAUGGGGAACUUACUACGCCGGGGCGAUCUCGCGAGAGUGAGACGAGCCGCAAGCUGGGAUGGGGAUUGUAGUUUUUUUUUUUUUUUUUA